rnacentral:rRNA from 1 species
ACUCCUACGGGAGGCAGCAGUGGGGAAUAUUGGACAAUGGGCGAAAGCCUGAUCCAGCAAUGCCGCGUGGGUGAAGAAGGUCUUCGGAUCGUAAAGCCCUUUCGACGGGGACGAUGAUGACGGUACCCGUAGAAGAAGCCCCGGCUAACUUCGUGCCAGCAGCCGCGGUAAUACGAAGGGGCUAGCGUUGCUCGGAAUUACUGGGCGUAAAGGGCGCGUAGGCGGCGGCCCAAGUCAGGCGUGAAAUUCCUGGGCUCAACCUGGGGACUGCGCUUGAUACUGGGUUGCUUGAGGAUGGAAGAGGCUCGUGGAAUUCCCAGUGUAGAGGUGAAAUUCGUAGAUAUUGGGAAGAACACCGGUGGCGAAAGGCGGCGAGCUGGUCCAUUACUGACGCUGAGGCGCGACAGCGUGGGGAGC